rnacentral:rRNA from 1 species
UAAUACGUAGGGUGCGAGCGUUAAUCGGAAUUACUGGGCGUAAAGCGUGCGCAGGUGGCGUCGCAAGUCAGGCGUGAAAUCCCCGAGCUUAACUUGGGAAUUGCGCUUGAAACUACGAUGCUGGAGUGCGGCAGAGGGAGGUGGAAUUCCACGUGUAGCGGUGAAAUGCGUAGAGAUGUGGAGGAACACCGAUGGCGAAGGCAGCCUCCUGGGUCGACACUGACGCUCAUGCACGAAAGCGUGGGGAGCAAACAGG